UACGGAGGGGGCUAGCGUUGUUCGGAAUUACUGGGCGUAAAGCGCACGUAGGCGGCUUUGUAAGUUAGAGGUGAAAGCCCGGAGCUCAACUCCGGAAUUGCCUUUAAGACUGCAUCGCUCGAAUCAUGGAGAGGUGAGUGGAAUUCCGAGUGUAGAGGUGAAAUCGUAGAUAUUCGGAAGAACACCAGUGGCGAAGGCGACUCACUGGACACGUAUUGACGCUGAGGUGCGAAAAGCGUGGGGAGCAAACAGG
rnacentral:rRNA from 1 species